CUGGGCGACAGAGCCGGACUCUGUCUCGAAAAAAUAGAAACUGGAAUACAUGGCAAGAGAAAAGCAUAGGCUGAAGGUAGAGAUACAGUAACGUCUUCAAAUAAUCUGCUCUUUCUACCCAUCAAAGACAGUGAAAGUAACCUGACAACGCCAUUCAAAUAAUAUUUGUGUUAAAAGGUCACUUCUCUGACCUACAGAUCAAAAACUUGCAAUAGAAAAUAGCUGGAUGGAGAAAAUACCACUGACCCUAACCCAGGACAAUCCUCCUGUCUUUGA
rnacentral:lncRNA from 1 species